CCCUUAGAUGUUCGGGGCCGCACGCGCGCUACACUGAAGGAAUCAGCGUGCUCUUGUCCUGGUCUGGAAAGACUGGGUAACCCGUUGAACCUCCUUCGUGCUAGGGAUUGGGGCUUGCAAUUAUUCCCCAUGAACGAGGAAUUCCUAGUAAGCGCAAGUCAACAGCUUGCGUUGAUUACGUCCCUGCCCUUUGUACACACCGCCCGUCGCUACUACUGAUUGGAUGUUUAAGCGAGGUUCUCGAACUGCUAGCGACUUAGCUUCGGUGAGGUCGCAGUGUGGGAAGUGAACCUAGCUUUGGUGUCUAGAGGAAGUAAAAGUCGUAACA
rnacentral:rRNA from 1 species